AAUCAGAAGAAAAAAAUAGAAAACUUAUCUUCUCAAACCAUCGACACCAUUGCCCAUACUCUCCCAACUGCACCCUUUCUCUUCCAUGUUUCAACUGUGCAGCCAUGAUUUUAAUUACCAACUCUCUUUGUUGUCAAAUUAAUUUUUUUCACCUCUCCUACCUCUCUGCCUAUCCACUCGAUUAAUGGUACCAUAUAUUGAGAGAAGAAAUCUGAAAUUGUGAGUGAAGAGAAGGUUGUCGUACGAAACAACUCUGAAACUCCCUCAACAGCAACAUGGUUUUGAUGAUAAUGAAGUGGGUGAACGUUAUAGAGAUCAAAUCUGUUAUUAUGUAUCAUUUGGUACCUGCAAUACUGUUGUGGAACCCAAGGAAGGGAAGAAAGAGAGGCUGAACAAUCGUGCCUAAACCCGAUUUUAUGCCGGCGGUAUUGUUCUCUAAACUUUUUGUUCUGUCUCAAAGGGUAUACCCUAUUUGUGUGUUGUACUAGUUGCCUACUGAGCAUUGUCAAACCCCUGCAACAUAUACAUAUUUUUGCAUGAUCCUAUGUGACAUUUGGGUAACUUGUGUGUUGCUGAAUUGUUAUUUUACUCUGCAUAUCAUCUCUGCAAAAGUUUUGUGUCUGUGUGCCUGAGUCCGCGAGUAUGUUUAUCAUAAGCUUCAUCUUUCGCCCGACUUUUGUACUUGUUGAUAUUUCUGGGUGUUAUAACAUGUUGAAUGGCGUGUCUGAUGGGGUAUGAUUGUUUCUUUUCGUGACCAAACUAACCGUCUAGUUAGGAUUCAGCGAGAGGACAUAGUCGAAAUCCCCAUUUCUGUAGUAGAUAGACCUGACCAACCAGAGACAACGGGUGAAGAGUUAAUUCAACCCCGUAGUCUCAAAGAUUACAUGUACCCGACAAGGGCAAGCCAUCCCUCUUGCAUUGUUUUACCAAAAACUGCUGGUCAGUUUGAAUUGAAAGCGAGAA